GAUGAAGAACGUAGCGAAAUGCGAUAAGUAAUGUGAAUUGCAGAAUUCAGUGAAUCAUCGAAUCUUUGAACGCACAUUGCGCCCGCCAGUAUUCUGGCGGUCAUGCCUGUUCGAGCGUCAUUUCAACCAUCAAGCCCCAGGCUUGUGUUGGGGACCUGCGGCUGCCGCAGGCCCUGAAAACCAGUGGCGGGCUCGCUGUCACACCGGGCGUAGUAGAUUUUAUCUCGCUCAGGGCGUGCUGCGGGUUCCGGCCGUUAAAAAGCCUUUUUUACCCAAGGUUGACCUCGGAUCAGGUAGGAAGACCCGCUGAACUUAAGCAUAUCAAUAAGCGGAGGA
rnacentral:misc_RNA from 1 species